CAGCAGCCACGGUAAUACGGAGGGUGCAAGCGUUAAUCGGAAUUACUGGGCGUAAAGCGCACGCAGGCGGUCUGACAAGUCAGAUGUGAAAUCCCCGGGCUUAACCUGGGAACUGCAUUUGAAACUGUCAGGCUGGAGUCUUGUAGAGGGGGGUGGAAUUCCAGGUGUAGCGGUGAAAUGCGUAGAGAUCUGGAGGAAUACCGGUGGCGAAGGCGGCCCCCUGGACAAAGACUGACGCUCAGGUGCGAAAGCGUGGGGAGCAAACAGGAUUAGAUACCCGCGUAGCCCUGUCUCUUAUACA
rnacentral:rRNA from 1 species